rnacentral:rRNA from 1 species
GCUACACAUGCAGUCGAACGCUGAAGCCUGGUGCUUGCACCGGGUGGAUGAGUGGCGAACGGGUGAGUAACACGUGAGUAACCUGCCCCUGACUUCGGGAUAAGCCCGGGAAACUGGGUCUAAUACCGGAUACGACUGCCGGACGCAUGUCUGGUGGUGGAAAGUUUUUUCGGUUGGGGAUGGGCUCGCGGCCUAUCAGUUUGUUGGUGAGGUAAUGGCUCACCAAGACGACGACGGGUAGCCGGCCUGAGAGGGCGACCGGCCACACUGGGACUGAGACACGGCCCAGACUCCUACGGGAGGCAGCAGUGGGGAAUAUUGCACAAUGGGGGAAACCCUGAUGCAGCGACGCAGCGUGCGGGAUGACGGCCUUCGGGUUGUAAACCGCUUUCAGCAGGGAAGAAGCGCAAGUGACGGUACCUGCAGAAGAAGUACCGGCUAACUACGUGCCAGCAGCCGCGGUAAUACGUAGGGUACGAGCGUUGUCCGGAAUUAUUGGGCGUAAAGAGCUCGUAGGUGGUUGGUCACGUCUGCUGUGGAAACGCAACGCUUAACGUUGCGCGUGCAGUGGGUACGGGCUGACUAGAGUGCAGUAGGGGAGUCUGGAAUUCCUGGUGUAGCGGUGAAAUGCGCAGAUAUCAGGAGGAACACCGGUGGCGAAGGCGGGACUCUGGGCUGUAACUGACACUGAGGAGCGAAAGCAUGGGGAGCGAACAGGAUUAGAUACCCUGGUAGUCCAUGCCGUAAACGUUGGGCACUAGGUGUGGGGGGCAUUCCACGUUCUCCGCGCCGUAGCUAACGCAUUAAGUGCCCCGCCUGGGGAGUACGGUCGCAAGGCUAAAACUCAAAGGAAUUGACGGGGGCCCGCACAAGCGGCGGAGCAUGCGGAUUAAUUCGAUGCAACGCGAAGAACCUUACCAAGGCUUGACAUACACCGGACCGUCCUGGAAACAGGUCCUCUUCUUUGAAGCUGGUGUACAGGUGGUGCAUGGUUGUCGUCAGCUCGUGUCGUGAGAUGUUGGGUUAAGUCCCGCAACGAGCGCAACCCUCGUUCUAUGUUGCCAGCACGUGAUGGUGGGAACUCAUAGGAGACUGCCGGGGUCAACUCGGAGGAAGGUGGGGAUGACGUCAAAUCAUCAUGCCCUUUAUGUCUUGGGCUUCACGCAUGCUACAAUGGCUGGUACAGAGAGAGGCGAACCCGUGAGGGCAAGCGAAUCCCUUAAAGCCAGUCUCAGUUCGGAUCGUAGUCUGCAAUUCGACUACGUGAAGUCGGAGUCGCUAGUAAUCGCAGAUCAGCAACGCUGCGGUGAAUACGUUCCCGGGCCUUGUACACACCGCCCGUCAAGUCACGAAAGUCGGUAACACCCGAAGCCGGUGGCCUAACCGUAAGGAGGGGCCGUCUAAG